rnacentral:rRNA from 1 species
UACGGAGGAUGCAAGCGUUAUCCGGAAUGAUUGGGCGUAAAGCGUCCGCAGGUGGCUAUGUAAGUCUGCUGUUAAAGAGUCUGGCUCAACCAGAUAAAGGCAGUGGAAACUACAUGGCUAGAGUGCGCUCGGGGCAGAGGGAAUUCCUGGUGUAGCGGUGAAAUGCGUAGAGAUCAGGAAGAACACCGGUGGCGAAGGCAGCUCGCUGGGACGGUACUGACGCUGAGGUGCGAAAGCGUGGGGAGCAAACAGG